rnacentral:rRNA from 1 species
GACGUAGGGCGCGAGCGUUGUCCGGAUUUAUUGGGCGUAAAGAGCUCGUAGGCGGCUUGUUGCGUCAGCUGUGAAAACUCGGGGCUUAACUCCGGGCCUGCAGUGGGUACGGGCAGACUAGAGUGCGGUAGGGGAGACUGGAAUUCCUGGUGUAGCGGUGAAAUGCGCAGAUAUCAGGAGGAACACCGGUGGCGAAGGCGGGUCUCUGGGCCGAUACUGACGCUGAGGAGCGAAAGCGUGGGGAGCGAACAGG